rnacentral:rRNA from 1 species
CUGACGGUAGUCGUAUGCUCGUCUCCGAGACUAAGCCAUGCAAGUCCAAGUACACGUCCUUGAACGACGGAAACUGCGAACGGCUCAUUAAAUCAGUUGCGAUCUACUCGGCGUUCCGCGCCGCCGGAUAACCGUAGUAAUUCUAGGGCUAAUACGUGCGAAGCGCCCGAAGCCGCGAGGCGACGGGCGUUCUCGCCGGAUGUAGGAACCGACCCGGGGACCGCCGGGGCAACCCGGCGCCCCCGAGACGGGGCGAACCACGGUGAAAUGACGGAUCGUCGGCCCCGCGCCGGCGACUCGCCGAAUGAGUUUCUGACCUAUCAACUCGAGACGGCGGGGUAGAGGCCCGCCGCGGUAACGACGGGUAACGGGGAAUCAGGGUUCGAUUCCGGAGAGGGAG